CAUGAAUCCUUGAAUCUAUUAUCACCUGUCAAUGAGCUGAAAUGAACAGAUACUAUUUCUUCUCAACAUGACCGAAGAAAAUAUAGAUGGACAUGAGAGAGACAAGAGUUUUCUGCUCCCAUAACACAGUUGUACCAUCAAGCCCACCACCGGAAACGCCAACGUGAGGUCAUAAUUAAUCUAAAGGAAGAUGGGAUUUAACAGUCCUCGGCAGCCCAGAGGCAGGACUGGGGAUCUUCUUUUAGGACUUGAAGAAAUUGGAGCA